rnacentral:rRNA from 1 species
AUUGAACGCUGGCGGCAGGCUUAACACAUGCAAGUCGAGCGGGGGAGGUAGCUUGCUACCGGACCUAGCGGCGGACGGGUGAGUAAUGCUUAGGAAUCUGCCUAUUAGUGGGGGACAACAUCUCGAAAGGGAUGCUAAUACCGCAUACGUCCUACGGGAGAAAGCAGGGGAUCUUCGGACCUUGCGCUAAUAGAUGAGCCUAAGUCGGAUUAGCUAGUUGGUGGGGUAAAGGCCUACCAAGGCGACGAUCUGUAGCGGGUCUGGGGGGAUGAUCCGCCACACUGGGACUGAGACACGGCCCAGACUCCUACGGGAGGCAGCAGUGGGGAAUAUUGGACAAUGGGGGGAACCCUGAUCCAGCCAUGCCGCGUGUGUGAAGAAGGCCUUAUGGUUGUAAAGCACUUUAAGCGAGGAGGAGGCUACUUUAGUUAAUACCUAGAGAUAGUGGACGUUACUCGCAGAAUAAGCACCGGCUAACUCUGUACCAGCCGCCGCCGUAA